UCGUACUGAUGUGAUGGUUCCUACUUCUGAAUACCAGCAUGCCAUUUAGUUGGUGCGUUGGGAAGCAGAGCUAUUACCUUGAAAAAAUUAGAGUGCUUAAAGCAAGCUAUUUGCUUGAAUAGAUUAGCAUGGAAUAAUAAAUAGGACGGCAUGGUUCUAUUUUGUUGGUUUCUAGGAUCACCGUAAUGAUUUAAUAGGGAUAGUUGGGGGCAUUAGUAUUCAAUUGUCAGAGGUGAAAUUCUUGGAUUUAUUGAAGACUAACUUCUGCGAAAGCAUUUGCCAAGGAUGUUUUCAUUAAUCAAGAACGAAAGUUAGGGGAUCGAAGACGAUCAGAUACCGUCGUAGUCUUAACCAUAAACUAUGCCGACUAGGGAUCGGACGAUGUUAAUUUUUAAUGACUCGUUCGGCGCCUUACG
rnacentral:rRNA from 1 species